CCCUUAGAUGUUCUGGGCCGCACGCGCGCUACACUGAUGAAUGCAACGAGCUCUACCCUUGACCGAAAGGCCCGGGUAAACUUGUGAAACUUCAUCGUGAUGGGGAUAGAUUAUUGCAAUUAUUAAUCUUCAACGAGGAAUUCCUAGUAAGCGCGAGUCAUCAGCUCGCGUUGAUUACGUCCCUGCCCUUUGUACACACCGCCCGUCGCUCCUACCGAUUGAAUGGUCCGGUGAAAUCUUCGGAUUGCUGACCAAGAUCCAGCAAUGGAGCUUGGUUGCGAGAAGCUGAUUAAACCUUAUUAUUUAGAGGAAGGAGAAGUCGUAACA
rnacentral:rRNA from 1 species